GUCCAGGAGCUCCACCUUGGCUCUGGGGGGUACUAGCACUCUGGAUCGAUGGGUUGCUGGGUGGGCAGAGACCAGCGGUACUCUGCCCUAGUGCCUGCGCUACCACGGGAGUAGCCUGGUUGGAGCCCAGGUGAGGGAAUGGCGUAGUAGGAUCCUCCCGCUGGACCUGGUGUUGCUGCUGGAGGGGCAGACAGGCUGUCUCCCCUUUGGAUAUAGAGCCCUGCUGCUGGGGGACUGGACCGACCGUCCCUACCCCCUGUGGUUUGGGCACAGAGACCACGGUCCCAUCUGCACCGGUGUGGGGCUUAUCUCCUCUUGGUGGGCUAGGCUGCCGCUGGGGAGGGGGAACGAGACUCUCCCUUCCCGGUAGAAUUCUCUGCCGCUGUGGAGCAGGACCGACUGUCUACAGAUUAGACAACAACCAAAUCUCCAAAAAGUAGAACGUGAAACAAAUGCAUAGCAACUAUUACACUGAACUAAGUCUGCCAUUCCAAUGAGGACAAUAAUUUAACUCAAACUAAUCUUAACUUUUUUCUUUAUCCUCCUGAAUACCUCAGAUUACCUCCAGUUUCUCUCCAGAAUAUCUCCAACUACACACUUAGAAGCAACACUUAGAUGAAGCAGCCAGGCUAAUGACAACAAGCCUUAUAUAACUCCUAAAAUCACCACCCAGUAGGAAUGUUUAACACCUGGGUAGGCCUCUGCUUAUUUGCAAACAAUAGUUAAUUAACCAGCAAUCAAUAGCAAGUAACUAGCUUAAUCAAAUCAAAUGCCUUAUAAUUAUAAACCGGAAUUCAAACCUUGUGCAAUCAGUAACCUUUUUCUUACUGAUGAAUCUUCCCUGUAACAGUAGAAAAGAAAGCUCUUGGCACAACUCUUAGACAGUUGAAGCUUCUGUAAAACUCUCCAGAAUAUCUCCAACUACACACUUAGAAACAGCACUCAGGUGAAUCAACCAAGCUAUAUAUAAUACUGACACACAGUGCAUCAUGGGAUACUAUAAUACUGACACACAGUGCAUCAUGGG